UACGAGGGGGGCGAGCGUUGUUCGGAAUUACUGGGCGUAAAGGGCGCGCAGGCGGCGGACCAAGUCAGGCGUGAAAGCCCCGGGCUCAACCUGGGAAUGGCGCAUGGGACUGGUCUGCUAGAGUUCGGGAGAGGAGCGUGGAAUUCCCAGUGUAGCGGUGAAAUGCGUAGAUAUCGGGAGGAACACCUGUGGCGAAAGCGGCGCACUGGACCAUAACUGACGCUGAGGUGCGAAAGCUAGGGGAGCAAACAGG
rnacentral:rRNA from 1 species